rnacentral:rRNA from 1 species
AACGAACGCUGGCGGCAUGCCUAACACAUGCAAGUCGAACGAGACCUUCGGGUCUAGUGGCGCACGGGUGCGUAACGCGUGGGAACCUGCCCUUAGGUUCGGAAUAACUCCCCGAAAGGGGUGCUAAUACCGGAUAAUGUCUUCGGACCAAAGAUUUAUCGCCUUUGGAUGGGCCCGCGUUGGAUUAGCUAGUUGGUAGGGUAAAAGCCUACCAAGGCGACGAUCCAUAGCUGGUCUGAGAGGAUGAUCAGCCACACUGGGACUGAGACGCGGCCCAGACUCCUACGGGAGGCAGCAGUGGGGAAUAUUGGAAAAUGGGCGGAAGCCUGAUCCAGCAAGGCCGCGUGAGUGAUGAAGGCCUUAGGGUUGUAAAGCUCGUUUACCCGGGAGGAUAAUGACAGUACCGGGAGAAUAAGCACCGGCUAACUCCGUG